GCUUGCUGGGUGGAUUAGUGGCGAACGGGUGAGUAACACGUGAGUAACCUGCCCUUAACUCUGGGAUAAGCCUGGGAAACUGGGUCUAAUACCGGACAGGAGCGUCCACCGCAAGGUGGGUGUUGGAAAGAUUUAUCGGUUUUGGAUGGACUCGCGGCCUAUCAACUUGUUGGUGAGGUAAUGGCUCACCAAGGCGACGACGGGUAGCCGGCCUGAGAGGGUGACCGGCCACACUGGGACUGAGACACGGCCCACACUCCUACUGGAGGCAGCAGUGGGGAAUAUUGCACAAUGGGCGCAAGCCUGAUGCAGCGACCCCGCGUGAGGGAUGACGGCCUUCGGGUUGUAAACCUCUAUCAGUAGGGAAGAAGCGAAUGUGACGGUACCUGCAGAAGAAGCACCGGCUAACUACGUGCCAGCAGCCGCGGUAAUACGUAUGGUGCGAGCGUUAUCCGGAAUUAUGGGGCGUAAAGAGCUCGUAGGCCGUUUGUCGCGUCUGUCGUGAAAGUCCGGGGCUUAACCCCGGAUCUGCGGUGGGUACGGGCAGACUAGAGUGCAGUAAGGGAGACUGGAAUUCCUGGUGUAGCGGUGGAAUGCGCA
rnacentral:rRNA from 1 species